rnacentral:rRNA from 1 species
AUUGAACGCUGGCGGCAGGCCUAACACAUGCAAGUCGAACGAGUGGCGGACGGGUGAGUAAUGUCUGGGAAACUGCCUGAUGGAGGGGGAUAACUACUGGAAACGGUAGCUAAUACCGCAUACCAUCAGAUGUGCCCAGAUGGGAUUAGCUUGUUGGUGGGGUAACGGCUCACCAAGGCGACGAUCCCUAGCUGGUCUGAGAGGAUGACGGGCCACACUGGAACUGAGGCACGGUCCAGAAUCCUACGGGAGGCAGCAGUGGGGAAGAUUGAACAAUGGGCGCAAGCAUGAUGCAGCCAUGCAGAGUGUAUGAAGAAGGCAUUCGGGUUGUAAAGUAAUUUCAGAGGGGAGGCGUUACCCGAAGAAGAAGCACCGGCUAAAUCCGUGACAGCCGCCGCGGUAAUAC